rnacentral:rRNA from 1 species
AGCGAACGCUGGCGGCAGGCCUAACACAUGCAAGUCGAACGAACCCUUCGGGGUUAGUGGCGGACGGGUGAGUAACACGUGGGAACGUGCCUUUAGGUUCGGAAUAACUCAGGGAAACUUGUGCUAAUACCGAAUGUGCCCUUCGGGGGAAAGAUUUAUCGCCUUUAGAGCGGCCCGCGUCUGAUUAGCUAGUUGGUGAGGUAAUGGCUCACCAAGGCUACGAGCAGUAGCUGGUCUGAGAGGAUGACCAGCCACAUUGGGACUGAGACACGGCCCAAACUCCUACGGGAGGCAGCAGUGGGGAAUCUUGCGCAAUGGGCGAAAGCCUGACGCAGCCAUGCCGCGUGGAUGAUGAAGGUCUAGGAUUGUAAAAUCCUUUCACCGGUGAAGAUAAUGACUGUAGCCGGAGAAGAAGCCCCGGCUAACUUCGUGCCAGCAGCCGCCGUAAUAC